rnacentral:rRNA from 1 species
UACAACAUAACGUUAAUGCACCAGAUCCCAUUAGAACUUCACAGUUAAGCAUGCUUGGGAUAGAGUAGUACUAGGAUGGGUGACCACCCAAGAAAUUCUAGUGUUUUAC